ACGAUGAAGAACGCAGCGAAGUGUGAUAAGCAAUGCGAAUUGCAGAGCCGAGAGUCAUCAGAUUUUUGAACGUAACUGACACCGGAGAGCUCUCUCUUCGGUAUGCUUCUUUCAGUGUGUGAUUCUCUCAUCACCCAAACCUUAAUGCGAUAGAUGCCCUUCUAUUGCUAAGCUCGAAAGCACUCUGAACCCUGCAGCGGAGGUCUUAGGACUGACGCACUCAAUGCAGUAGUUACAUUCUCAAAUGUGAACUCAUUGAGCGUAGAGUCAGCGCAUGCUUGCAUGCCAGUGCUUAGACACCAAAAUUUUCUCAGCAUCUGAAAUGAAGUAGGACCACCCGCUGAACUUAAGCAUAUCAUUAAGCGGAGGAAAAGAAACUAACAAGGAUUCCCCUAGUACGGGCGACGGAAGCGGGAAAAGCCCACAUUGGUAAUCUGGGGGCGUUAGCUCGCCGAAUUGUAAUCCGAAGAUAGCUAGUCUAAUUGGAUCGGGCGCCGAAGUGUGCACGAGCGCGCCGCCAAAGAGGGUGAGAGCCCCGUAAGGUGCCAGAUCCUACAAAGGCUGGUUGUCGAAGAGUCGUGUACUUUGAUACUAGUGCACUAAGCGGGAGAUAAACUUCUUCUAAGGCUAAAUAUAAGUAGGAAACCGAUAGCGAACAAGUACUGUGAAGGAAGGAUGAAAAGCACUUUGGAAAGAAAGUUAAAAGACUUGAAAUCGUUGAGGCGGACCCGGUAGAAAUGUAUUCUAGCGAAACUCCCUGGGAAGCCUGUACGCGGGCCACUUGGGAGUUAGCCGAGGCAAGAUGGAGUCGCACGAUGCUAAAGGCUGUGCAGGAGGACCUUCGGGUAAGUCUGUGCAAGUCGAGUGUCGAGUGGCUUGAGGGGCUUUGAGCGAUCUUGUCAAAAUGGUUUUUACCGACUCGUCUUGAAACACGAACCAAGGAGUCUAAGACUAACGCGAGUAUGGUGGUGGAGAAACCAACAUGCGAAAUGAAAGUAAAUGAUGCCAAGCACCCUGCAGCAUCGACCGACUUUUUUCUUCUGGAAGAGGUUUGAGUAAGAGCGUUAUUCUUAGGACCCGAAAGAUGGUGAACUAUGCCUGUGUAGGGUGAAGUCAGGGGAAACUCUGAUGGAAGCUCGUAGCGAUACUGACGUGCAAAUCGUUCGUCGAACAUGGGUAUAGGGGCGAAAGACUAAUCGAACCAUCUAGUAGCUGGUUCCCUCCGAAGUUUCCCUCAGGAUAGCUGGGACAAUCACGCAGUUUUAUUAGGUAAAGCGAAUGAUUAGAGGCAUCGGGGAUAAAAUGUCCUUGACCUAUUCUCAAACUUUAAAUUGGUAAGAACUCCCGUCUUCGCUUAAUUGAAGCAGGAGGUUCAAUGCGUGUCCUUAGUGGGCCAUUUUUGGUAAGCAGAACUGGCGAUGAGGGAUGCUCCUAACGUCUGGUUAAGGUGCCAAACUGCACGCUCACCAGAAACUACAAAGGGUGUUGGUUCAUACAGACAGCAGGACGGUGGCCAUGGAAGUCGGAAUCCGCUAAGGAGUGUGUUACAACUCACCUGCCGAAUGAACUAGUCCCGAAAAUGGAUGGCGCUAAAGCGUGUGACCGAUACCAGACCAUUGGUGCGAGAGUGAUGCAUCAAUGAGUAGGAGGGCGUGGGCGUCGUGGCGAAGCCUCUAGCGUGAGCUUGGGUUGAACGGCGUCUAGUGCAGAUCUUGGUGGUAGUA
rnacentral:rRNA from 1 species